CCCUUGCCAUAGGUGGUUUAUUUUGAGGGCUUAACAGUAUUAGUGCAUUGGUAGGAAGAGAAUAUGAAGGUUUGAAGGUAAAACCUGAAUUUGGUAAAUCGGGAUCUUACUAACACAGUCCACACCCUUGUUUGAGUUGUGUUACCAAGAUACCAGACUCCUCCACUGCCUUCAUGUAAAUGUAACAAGAAUGACGUUUAUCACCUGCUUGCAACAAAAAGAAAGAA
rnacentral:lncRNA from 1 species